CAUUUGUAAAGAACUAAAAGUAAGUUUACAAUUAUCAAAAACAAUGUUUAACCUAGUUAUGUAAUGUGCAUGUUCUGGUAGGCCUACAUUGUUGCAAGUGCACGCUGAAGAUGGAGACAUGUGACAGCUUUUUAAAAAUGACAAUGACGAAAGCAGAUAUUUUAAAGACAGCCAGAUUACUACGCUUACUUACUGUGAUAAGACAUAUUGAGCAUUUACAGAGUAUGGUGCUGUCGCACUACGUUUGUUUAUGGUUACGUUCCCACUAGUAGGACAUUGGUUACUAAUAGCUUACUAGUGUGUUUUAUGCCAUUGGUGACUGCACUUGGACCAAAAGCCAUAGGAUGGUUAGAUAGUGUCGCCACAAGUACACAUGAAGCUUACGUUGCCAACGUCACAGAUAGUGAACCCAGCAUAAAGACGUAUUACAUCACACCAUUUUAUGUUUACGUUGCUGACGUCAAUAGGAUUAGGAAACGCCGAGAAAAUAUACUCAAUAUUUGCUGUUCUGCUUGGUUGUAAGUAGCAUUUGAUUUAUCUUUAAUAAAUACACCUAGAUAAACGAACAAAUCCGAGAAUAUACAAAUG
rnacentral:lncRNA from 1 species